UUGGAGUCUCAGUUUAGAGGGUUAUAAGUGGUUUGGCUUGCGGCAUUUAGUGGAGCUAGUGAAGGAUUUGGCAAUUGUGGCCAUGUUUCGGGAGUAACGGUGGCGGAGGAAUUUCUAUCAUGUCCACUUGAUGAAACAUGUCGAGGAGUAGAAGGACGAGAGUUCCUUUGACUCUCCACUUGUUCUAACCUCCCACUAAUAGUCAUCACUUCUCCC
rnacentral:lncRNA from 1 species